rnacentral:rRNA from 1 species
AGUCGAACGAGCGAGAGAGAGCUUGCUUUCUCGAGCGAGUGGCGAACGGGUGAGUAACGCGUGAGGAACCUGCCUCAAAGAGGGGGACAACAGUUGGAAACGACUGCUAAUACCGCAUAAGCCCACGACCCGGCAUCGGGUAGAGGGAAAAGGAGCAAUCCGCUUUGAGAUGGCCUCGCGUCCGAUUAGCUAGUUGGUGAGGUAAUGGCCCACCAAGGCGACGAUCGGUAGCCGGACUGAGAGGUUGAACGGCCACAUUGGGACUGAGACACGGCCCAGACUCCUACGGGAGGCAGCAGUGGGGAAUAUUGCACAAUGGGGGAAACCCUGAUGCAGCGACGCCGCGUGGAGGAAGAAGGUCUUCGGAUUGUCAACUCCUGUUGUUGAGGAAGAUAAUGACGGUACUCAACAAGGAAGUGACGGCUAACUACGUGCCAGCAGCCGCGGUAAAACGUAGGUCACAAGCGUUGUCCGGAAUUACUGGGUGUAAAGGGAGCGCAGGCGGGAAGACAAGUUGGAAGUGAAAUCCAUGGGCUCAACCCAUGAACUGCUUUCAAAACUGUUUUUCUUGAGUAGUGCAGAGGUAGGCGGAAUUCCCGGUGUAGCGGUGGAAUGCGUAGAUAUCGGGAGGAACACCAGUGGCGAAGGCGGCCUACUGGGCACCAACUGACGCUGAGGCUCGAAAGUGUGGGUAGCAAACAGGAUUAGAUACCCUGGUAGUCCACACUGUAAACGAUGAUUACUAGGUGUUGGAGGAUUGACCCCUUCAGUGCCGCAGUUAACACAAUAAGUAAUCCACCUGGGGGAGUACGACCGCA